UCACCCCUCAAGCCCCGUGCUUGGUGUUGGACGGCUCUGGUCGAGUAAUGUCGACCCCUCCUAAAGACAAUGACGGCGGCCUGUGGAACCCCCGGUACACUGAGCUUUUAACCGAGCACGUAUCGGACGAGGGUGCCCGGGACACGGUCCUCUCCUUUCACUAGGAAACUUUUAUCAA
rnacentral:misc_RNA from 1 species